rnacentral:rRNA from 1 species
GUUCCAGACUCCUACGGGAGGCAGCAGUGGGGGAUAUUGCACAAUGGGGGAAACCCUGAUGCAGCGACGCCGCGUGGGCGAAGAAGGAUUUCGGUAUGUAAAGCCCUAUCAGCAGGGAAGAAGAAAUGACGGUACCUGAGUAAGAAGCACCGGCUAAAUACGUGCCAGCAGCCGCGGUAAUACGUAUGGUGCAAGCGUUAUCCGGAUUUACUGGGUGUAAAGGGAGCGCAGGCGGCACGGCAAGCCUGAUGUGAAAGCCCGCGGCCCAACCGCGGGACUGCAUUUGAAACUGUCAGUCUUGAGUACCGGAGAGGUCAUCGGAAUUCCUUGUGUAGCGGUGAAAUGCGUAGAUAUAAGGAAGAACACCAGUGGCGAAGGCGGAUGACUGGACGGCAACUGACGGUGAGGCGCGAAAGCGUGGGGAGCAAACAGGAUUAGAUACCCCAGUA